rnacentral:SRP_RNA from 14 species
CUGGGUCAAACCGAAGUCGAUGAGCAUGGCGUGAGGCUGGCCGCAGAGAGGCGGAAUGGCGAGGACAUCUCCGCCUCCG